rnacentral:rRNA from 1 species
UACGUAGGGGGCAAGCGUUGUCCGGAAUUAUUGGGCGUAAAGCGCGCGCAGGCGGUCUUUUAAGUCUGGUGUUUAAGUGCGGGGCUCAACCCCGUGACGCACUGGAAACUGGGAGGCUUGAGUGCAGAAGAGGAGAGCGGAAUUCCACGUGUAGCGGUGAUAUGCGUAGAGAUGUGGAGGAACACCAGUGGCGAAGGCGGCUCUCUGGCCUGUAACUGACGCUGAGGCGCGAAAGCGUGGGGAGCAAACAGG